AACGAACGCUGGCGGCAGGCUUAACACAUGCAAGUCGAGCGCGUAGCAAUACGAGCGGCAGACGGGUGAGUAACACGUGGGAAUCUACCCAUCACUAGGGAAUAACUCAGGGAAACUUGUGCUAAUACCCUAUACGACCGAGAGGUGAAAGAUUUAUCGGUGAUGGAUGAGCCCGCGUUGGAUUAGCUAGUUGGUGGGGUAAAGGCCUACCAAGGCGACGAUCCAUAGCUGGUCUGAGAGGAUGAUCAGCCACACUGGGACUGAGACACGGCCCAGACUCCUACGGGAGGCAGCAGUGGGGAAUAUUGGACAAUGGGCGCAAGCCUGAUCCAGCCACGCCGCGUGAGUGAUGAAGGUCUUAGGAUUGUAAAGCUCUUUCACCGGUGAAGAUAAUGACGGUAACCGGAGAAGAAGCCCCGGCUAACUUCGUGCCAGCCGCCGCAGUAAAAC
rnacentral:rRNA from 1 species